GAGAGUUGUGCACCAGCAUCUUGGCGAUAGCUUUUUUCUACAGAGGCUGCCACCGCCGCAUUUAUCAUUGACUGGAAGUCUGGAGAGGGUGGUUGAGGUGAGUCACUCAUUUUGGGAAGUUGAAUCUUCCCGUCUGUGGAAGACAGAACAGGUUCAGGUACAGAAGUACAGGUGCUGUUACACAGUGGACCACCAUGUACAACUGGGGGUCACUCAGUGUUGUCCAUCAAUCAGAACCACUU